CUUCGUCUUGGAUUUAGUUAAAAAUGACUUUGGAUCGUCUCUUACAUUAGAAUUUUUAUGAAAAUAUGAGCUACUGCAAAGAGUAGGGCCAACCCUAGGGAUAAAAGUAUCCAUUCAUAUUUUACAAUUUCACUCUUCUUAAAAAUUGAUUUCUAUAUGAGAACUAAAGAGACUGGCUCUUCUUUCUUGUCUACAGAUAGAUAGAAUGUGCCUAUUGGCCUGAUAGUUUGUUUUUAGUGCAUUUGGCAGAACUCUCAGUGUUACCUGAUGCUUUAAUCCAAUGCCCCGAUAACCAAAUAAAUAUUUAUAAAAUUAAAACAACUACUAAAUGUGUUAUUAGUGCAUGUUAGACAAUAGGUAAGAAAUUUCUUCCUAUGAGCUAAGACAGAUUAUUCCAAAUCUGUGCUUUAUGAGCUUAGUAAAACAUACCUGAGAUGAUGAAUUAGACAUGGACUUUUUGAUUCUGUACUUUUAUAUAUCUGUGCCCCCCUCCCUCCUUCCUGCAGCUUUUCCAUGAUCUAAAUCUUAACAAACCCCACCAGACCUUGAAGACACUGGUCAGAUUUCAAAUCCUCCUUCUCUGAAGCCUUUUCCAACUUCCCUGUCCACCGAGAACAUUUUGCUCAUAUCUCUUACAGCAAUUUCAGUGUUUUUCAUUGCUUUAUGUUUUCUAAACAUAAGUUUCUCAGAGGCAAGAGAUCCUUUUUCUUCUCACCAAUGACUUUUGGCACAUGCCCAAUGCAAAAUGGGGAUUCAGUCAAUAUUGAAUAAGUAAAUCGGUCCAUUGUUUUAACUCCUUUAAGCCUCUGAUUCAUGAUAAAUUCAAAAGUCUUGGCAUAUUCUGUAAACAAAGCCUCAGAAUAUAAAUUGAGGACUUCAAAUUAAAAAUAAAUUUCAGAUCCAGUUGAUUAAAAAACAUAGUAUAUGACCAUGUCAACAAAACACUCCAUCAAAAAUUGUGAUCCGUCUCUCUUAUUAUUAUAAUAUUCAUCUUCUUAUUGUGACUAUGACUUCGUAAGCCUUUCGUAAUCUAACAUUUUCCUAGAAUCCUUGAAACUUGUAGUAGUUGAGCAAGGUUUAUAGUCUUCUAAUUUUCUUGACAUUGCCCCAGCACAGUUACACAAGUGGGUCCAAAGCUGAAUUUACUUAAUAUAAGCUAAGGUAUACUUCAGAGUUAGUCAGAUGACCUGUGUUUGGGUCAUUGGCACUUGACUUGGCUUGGCCUCAUUUUCCUAAUCUCCAAUGGAGGUAAAACCACAAAUUUUGGUGUCCCUACUGUGUUGUGCAUGGUAUUAUGCUAGACAUAGAAUUGGAAGUUUUGAUUUAUUAAAAAUAAUGCAACUAUAGAGGCAUCUGGCUGGCUCAGUCAGUACAGCAUCUGACUCUUGAUAUGGGGGUUGUGAAUUCAAGCCUCACGUUGGGCGUAGAACUUAACUUUCAAAAAAAAAAAUAUAUAUAUAUAUAUAUGUAUACAUGAGUAUAUAUAUAAGCUUUUCUCCCUUGUGGAUAUUCUCAGCAGGACUUGAUCUCUCUUGCUUACUUAUUAUACUUUUUCAUAUAUAAAAAGAAGGUUCUUCUCAAGGCAGAGCAGAACCUCUGAUAACUCAUGCUCAAAGGAUAAGGUUCUAAAAGGCUGGGGGCGCCUGGGUGGCGCAGUCGGUUAAGCGUCCGACUUCAGCCAGGUCACGAUCUCGUGGUCCGUGAGUUCGAGCCCCGCGUCAGGCUCUGGGCUGAUGGCUCAGAGCCUGGAGCCUGUUUCUGAUUCUGUGUCUCCCUCUGUCUCUGCCCCUCCCCCGUUCAUGCUCUGUCUCUCUCUGUCCCAAAAAUAAAUAAACUUUGAAAAAAAAAA